rnacentral:piRNA from 1 species
UCCAAAAUUAUUCGGAAAAAACGAUCACACA